GGCUCAGGACGAACUCUAGCGACGUGCCUAAGAAAUGCAAGUCGAGCGAGGCCAUGGAGCUUGCUCCGGAAGCCUAGCGGCGAACGGUCGCGUAACACGUAAGCAACCUGCCCCAAAGUUUGGGAUAGCCCUCCGAAAGGGGGAUUAAUACCGGAUGUGGAUGUCGAUAUGCAUGUAUUGACAUCUAAAGCAUUUAUGCGCUUUGGGAUGGGCUUGCGGCCUAUCAGCUAGUUGGUGAGGUAACGGCUCACCAAGGCGACGACGGGUAGCUGGUCUGAGAGGAUGGUCAGCCGGACUGGGACUGAGACACGGCCCAGACUCCUACGGGGGGCAGCAAUUAGGAAUCUUGCGCAAUGGGCGAAAGCCUGACGCAGCGACGUCGCGUGAACGAUGAAGUCUUUCGGGAUGUAAAGUUCUUUUCUGAGGGAAGAAGGAUGUGACGGUACCUCAGGAAUAAGCCCCGGCUAACUACGUGCCAGCAGCCGCGGUAAUACGUAGGGGGCGAGCGUUGUCCGAAUUUACUGGGCGUAAAGCGCGCGUAGGCGGACUCUUAAGUUGGUGGUGAAAUGCCGAGGCUCAACCUCGGAACUGCCUUCAAAACUGGGAGUCUAGAGGCUUGGAGAGGGAAGUGGAAUUCCUGGUGUAGCGGUGAAAUGCGUAGAUAUCAGGAGGAACACCGAUGGCGAAGGCAGCUUCAUGGCCAUGUCCUGACGCUGAAGUGCGAAAGCUAGGGUAGCGAACGGGAUUAGAUA
rnacentral:rRNA from 1 species